UAACUAAACGGCUACCAUUAUGGUAUGGGGGCAAACAAAGCGCUUGAAAAUGGAGAAAUGUGUUUUUGAUUGUUCAAUUAAUGUUAAUAGUCAUCCGAACUUGAUUUUUUAUAUUUUGCUUCCUGAUCCAAAGAGAAGAAGAUCGGGGCUUUAUGCUUUAUAUAGAACUGAUUCAUCUUGCAAAAACAAACUUUGGUCGCAAAACAUGUCUAAAAUAUUAUGUACAAAAAAGUCAUUGCAAUAAAUCUCAAGUUAUUCAAGUCAGUGAACAAAUAAGUACUGACAAUUCGUUGACUGGAGUGGAAGAUGUUAGUGUCUUGAACCAACAUGAAACAACAAGUUAACUUAGCUGAGAAUGAUGGUAGUUUAAAAAUAAUGCAGCAUUGGCUAGUAGAGUUUCUGCUGUUGUCACUGGUUUUAGAGAGUACCUUCGUGAAUGAAGAUAAAAAGUCAUUUAUGUUAUUUUUUAAAAGCCAAGACAUAAUAUUGUUUAUACUCAUACUAUUUACUAAAAAACUUUAUAAAUAUUGUUACGAUGUUAUAAUUCAAGUUGUUGUAAUUAGUAAUUUUGAUCAUUUCAUUAUAAUACUGUAAAAAAUAUUUUUUAUUUAUAACAUUUAUUUCGCAUAUAUUAAAAACAUGAGGAAUAAAUAUUACACUGAGG